AUUUCCCUGGCAAGAAUACUGCAGUGGGUUGCCAUUGCUUACUCCAGCGGAUCUUCCCAACCCAGGGGUUGAAUCCGAGUGUCUUGUGAAUCCUGAAUUUGCUGGCAGAUGCUUUACCACCAGCGCCACUGAAAGUGGAGCUUGCUGGAAUCAUGGUUCAGUGUGCCUGGGAAGAAGAUAGAGCCACAGCCCUCCCUGCUGAAAAGCUAUCAGUGGCCGGUGGGUGGUACCUGGUGGCUGGAUCUGAGUUGUCAAGAUAGAAUGUCACCAUCCGGAGAGACCAGAGGGCUCCAAAAGCCCUGGAACAGUCCUGAUUCUUGUCAGACUGUGGAAAAAGAGCAUAAAUUGGGAAACGAGGAUUGUCUAUAUUCAUUUGCUGACAGAAGCUGCCUUUGAACUUCAGGAAAGCCACCAUCUUGUUUUUGUUCACUUCCCUAAAGCUUAGUGUCUGCCACAUGAAACAUAAAUUUAGGAUGAUUUCUAAUAUCAUCUGAGGGACUUUGGACUGUAAUUCUGGAUCACGUUGACCAG
ensembl:lncRNA